GCAUGCGCACCUACGCUCAUAGUAACACCAUGACUCAGUCCCAGGACAGUCUGGUAAACCUGGAAGAAGGGUCCCAGCCCGAAACAUCAGCUUUCCUGCUCCUCUGAUGCUGCCUGGCCUGCUGCAUUCCUCCAGCACCACACUGUGUUAUCUCUGACUCCAGCAUCGGCAGUUCUUACUAUCUCUCAGUCUUGAACCCUUGCAACAGAAAGAUACGUUCGCCUGUUUUCAGGAGAUUCAUGGUGACCUGUUUGCACUUAUAAAAGGUCUUUGUCUUAUUGCUUAAAGGUCACAGUUUACAGCAAUGGAUGAGGGGAAAUACAUUGGAUAUCUUCAGAUGCUGCCAGACCUACUGAGCUUUUCCAACAACUUUGUUUUUGUUCCUGAUUUACAGCAUCUACAGUUCGUUUGGUUUUUAUACUGUAUCCUGCACUCUGUCCUGUUACCCUGAUGCACUUGUACAGUGCGGUCUGCCUGUAUACUGUGUAAAACAACACUUUUCACUGUACCUCGAUACACGUGA